rnacentral:misc_RNA from 1 species
UUUCAAAAGAACAAUAGUAUUUGCUGGUGGGAGAUUCCCAGGUGAGUCUCAGGCUAACGGGUAGAGAUCUUACAGGUGAACCGAUAGGAUGAUUGUGCCCCUAGGUCAGUCAACUAUACUUCGACUCUAUAGCUCACAAGACUUCGUCAAGCCUUACGGCUCAUCUUGCCCGUUCGGUAUCGCUUUAAUGCAUUUCUGUUAAGUUUCAUGGGCUAACGUUCGCUACUUUAUAUUCAUUCGCUUAGUCAUGACCGCUUCCUAUUGGUUUUUCAGCUCUCUGCUCAGAAGGAAAAACUCUCAGAUGGGCUGUGGGGUAGAGUUAGUAUAAAGACUACGUUAAGGCUUUGAUGCUGCACUUACUCAAGCUUUAUAUUCAGUUGAUGACCAGCAAGGUAGUACUUUUCUUAAUAGAAGCGCAAGGUUCCCUGCCG